GACGGUAACCAACCCCAAGAUUGGGUAUAGCCGCGGGAAACCGCGGGUAAUCCCCAGCGACGCAACGACACCGGCAUCAGUGUUUUGCCAAAGCUUCGGCGUCUUGGGACGGGCUGUCGUGGUAUUAGCUUGUUGGCGGGGUAAUGGCCCACCAAGGCUGCGAUGCCUACCGGGCGUGCGAGCGUGGCCCGGCACACUGGGACUGAGACACUGCCCAGACUCCUACGGGAGGCUGCAGUCGAGAAUCUUCGGCAAUGGGCGCAAGCCUGACCGAGCGACGCCGCGUGGAGGAUGAAGGCCUUCGGGUUGUAAACUCCUGUCGAGGGGGAAAAAGGGUUGCAAGACCUUGAUUGAUCCCUGGAGGAAGCACGGGCUAAGUUCGUGCCAGCAGCCGCGGUAAGACGAACCGUGCGAACGUUAUUCGGAAUCAUUGGGCUUAAAGCGCGUGUAGGCGGAUUCGUGCGUCUGUCGUUGAAAUCCCCCGGCUCAACCGGGGAAGUGGCGCGGAUACGACGAGUCUG
rnacentral:rRNA from 1 species